AGUCGUAACAAGGUUUCCGUAGGUGAACCUGCGGAAGGAUCAUUAUUGAAAUAAACCUGAUGAGUUGCUGCUGGCUCUCUAGGGAGCAUGUGCACACUUGUCAUCUUUAUAUCUCCACCUGUGAACCUUUUGUAGACCUGGAUAUCUCUCUGAAUUUGCCUGACAAAUUUGGAUUUGAGGAUUGAUUUUUUUCUUUCCUUGCAUUUUCAGGUCUAUGUUUUUCAUAUACCCCAUGUAUGUUUAUAGAAUGUAAUAAACGGGCCUUUGUGCCUAUAAAUUUAUACAACUUUCAGCAACGGAUCUCUUGGCUCUCGCAUCGAUGAAGAACGCAGCGAAAUGCGAUAAGUAAUGUGAAUUGCAGAAUUCAGUGAAUCAUCGAAUCUUUGAACGCAUCUUGCGCUCCUUGGUAUUCUGAGGAGCAUGCCUGUUUGAGUGUCAUUAAUAUAUCAAUCCUCUUCAGCUUUUUGCAUGUCGAGUGUUGGAUGUGGGGGUUUUUGCUGGACUCUCUUGAGGUCAGCUCUCCUAAAAUACAUUAGCAAAACAAUUUGUUUACCGCUCAUUGGUGUGAUAACUAUCUACGCUGUUGACAGUAAAGCACAGUUUAGCUUCUAACCGUCCAUUAAAUUGGACAACCUUUUAUCAAUGUGACCUCAAAUCAGGUAGGAUUACCCGCUGAACUUAAGCAUAUCAAUAAGCGGAGGAAAAGAAACUAACAAGGAUUCCCCUAGUAACUGCGAGUGAAGCGGGAAAAGCUCAAAUUUAAAAUCUGG
rnacentral:rRNA from 1 species